GCUCUAGAUAUCUUUCUAUGGAACUUUGCAGAAUACAGGGGCUGCCUUUGUCUAUAAUUCCAUCUUCUCUGGUCUGGUGCUAUGUAGACUUGUUUUCUUCACUUGCGGCCAUAGUUGAGGAUGGUAAGAAGUGACUUCAAUCCUUGUUGAAUGUCGAUGGCCUACAAACUGUUUUGGAAGACUAUGAUUGUGUGGUUGCAUGGGAUAAAGCUUAAAAUUUAAUUCAAGAUAUGCCAUUAGAGGCCAACUCUGUAACAUUAAGGGAUCUGUUGGGUGCUUGCAAACUCCAUGGGAAAAAAAAUGUUCAAAGGGGGUGAGAUUUUUGGCUUCAUGAAAUGGAGUCUGCUCAUGCAGCUUAUUAUGGACUGUUAUCAUAUAUGCUUGCUAAUAUAAAUCUACGGGAGGAAGGUAGAAGAGCUAGUGAUGAAAGUACUGGAAGACAAGGACAUUUAAGAGGGUUGAGCUUUCUAGAGUUGAAUAAAAUUGUUACCCCAAUUUUUGGCAAGCGUUAAA